ACUGGGCAGUGAGGGACAUUGACAGUGAUGGGAACUCCGAUCAGUGAUUUACGGAAGGGUUUAAUGCUUCCUGAAAUAUCCGCGUGAGAGAAUUACCCUCAGACCCACGGUUUGUAUCACUUUGUUCAUCAAUUUGUUUGUUUGUGUUUAGACUUGGGGUGAAUGACCUGGGAGAUUCAGGAGUGAAACUGGUGUCUGCGGCUCUGGGGAACACGGAGUGUAAAAUACAGAAACUGCGGCUGUGGAGAGUCGGUCUCACAGAUUCUGGGGCCGAGGAUCUCGCCUCCGCUCUCAGUACAAACCCAUCACUGACGGAGCUGUACCUGAGUGAUAAUAAACUGGGAGAUUCAGGAGUGAAACUGGUGUCUGCGGCUCUGAGGAACCCGGAGUGUAAAAUACAGACACUGUGGCUGGAGAGAGUCGGUCUCACAGAUUCUGGGGCCGAGGAUCUCGUCUCCGCUCUCAGUACAAACCCAUCACUGACGGGGCUGAGCCUGGGAUGGAACUCUCUGACAGACCGAUCUGUCCCCGCUCUCCGCCGCCUCAUACAGACCCUCCUGAGUCUGAAGUGGAUCAUGCUGGGGUGGAAUCAGUUCAGUGAGACCGGGGAGAAGGAACUGAGAUCUCUACAGGAACCCAGACCCGGACUGAGAGUGUAUCUGUGAACAUCUGAAUGUGGUGAAUCGGUUCAGUGAGACCGGGAUGAAGGAACUGAGAUCUCUACAGGAACCCAGACCCGGACUGAUGGUGGAUCUGUGAACAUCUGAAUGUGGUGAAUCGGUUCAGUGAGACCGGGAUGAAGGAACUGAGAUCUCUACAGGAACCCAGACCCGGACUGAUGGUGGAUCUGUGAACAUCUGAAUGUGGGGAAUCGGUUCAGUGAGACCGGGAUGAAGGAACUGAGAUCUCUACAGGAACCCAGACCCGGACUGAGAGUGGAUCUGUGAACAUCUGAAUGUGGUGAAUCGGUUCAGUGAGACCGGGAUGAAGGAACUGAGAUCUCUACAGGAACCCAGACCCGGACUGAUGGUGGAUCUGUGAACAUCUGAAUGUGGUGAAUCGGUUCAGUGAGACCGGGAUGAAGGAACUGAGAUCUCUACAGGAACCCAGACCCGGACUGAUGGUGGAUCUGUGAACAUCUGAAUGUGGUGAAUCGGUUCAGUGAGACCGGGAUGAAGGAACUGAGAUCUCUACAGGAACCCAGACCCGGACUGAUGGUGGAUCUGUGAACAUCUGAAUGUGGUGAAUCGGUUCAGUGAGACCGGGGGAAGGAACUGAGAUCUCUACAGGAACCCAGACCCGGACUGAUGGUGGAUCUGUGAACAUCUGAAUGUGGUGAAUCGGUUCAGUGAGACCGGGAUGAAGGAACUGAGAUCUCUACAGGAACCCAGACCCGGACUGAGAGUGGAUCUGUGAACAUCUGAAUGUGGUGAAUCGGUUCAGUGAGACCGGGAUGAAGGAACUGAGAUCUCUACAGGAACCCAGACCCGGACUGAUGGUGGAUCUGUGAACAUCUGAAUGUGGUGAAUCGGUUCAGUGAGACCGGGAUGAAGGAACUGAGAUCUCUACAGGAACCCAGACCCGGACUGAUGGUGGAUCUGUGAACAUCUGAAUGUGGGGAAUCGGUUCAGUGAGACCGGGAUGAAGGAACUGAGAUCUCUACAGGAACCCAGACCCGGACUGAGAGUGGAUCUGUGAACAUCUGAAUGUGGUGAAUCGGUUCAGUGAGACCGGGAUGAAGGAACUGAGAUCUCUGCAGGAACCCAGACCCGGACUGAUGGUGGAUCUGUGAACAUCUGAAUGUGGUGAAUCGGUUCAGUGAGACCGGGAUGAAGGAACUGAGAUCUCUACAGGAACCCAGACCCGGACUGAUGGUGGAUCUGUGAACAUCUGAAUGUGGUGAAUCGGUUCAGUGAGACCGGGAUGAAGGAACUGAGAUCUCUACAGGGACCCAGACCCGGACUGAGAGUGGAUCUGUGAACAUCUGAAUGUGGUGAAUCGGUUCAGUGAGACCGGGAUGAAGGAACUGAGAUCUCUACAGGAACCCAGACCCGGACUGAUGGUGGAUCUGUGAACAUCUGAAUGUGGUGAAUCGGUUCAGUGAGACCGGGAUGAAGGAACUGAGAUCUCUACAGGAACCCAGACCCGGACUGAGAGUGGAUCUGUGAACAUCUGAAUGUGGGGAAUCGGUUCAGUGAGACCGGGAUGAAGGAACUGAGAUCUCUACAGGAACCCAGACCCGGACUGAUGGUGGAUCUGUGAACAUCUGAAUGUGGGGAAUCGGUUCAGUGAGACCGGGAUGAAGGAACUGAGAUCUCUACAGGAACCCAGACCCGGACUGAGAGUGGAUCUGUGAACAUCUGAAUGUGGUGAAUCGGUUCAGUGAGACCGGGAUGAAGGAACUGAGAUCUCUACAGGAACCCAGACCCGGACUGAUGGUGGAUCUGUGAACAUCUGAAUGUGGUGAAUCGGUUCAGUGAGACCGGGAUGAAGGAACUGAGAUCUCUACAGGAACCCAGACCCGGACUGAUGGUGGAUCUGUGAACAUCUGAAUGUGGUGAAUCGGUUCAGUGAGACCGGGAUGAAGGAACUGAGAUCUCUACAGGAACCCAGACCCGGACUGAUGGUGGAUCUGUGAACAUCUGAAUGUGGUGAAUCGGUUCAGUGAGACUGGGAUGAAGGAACUGAGAUCUCUACAGGAACCCAGACCCGGACUGAUGGUGGAUCUGUGAACAUCUGAAUGUGGUGAAUCGGUUCAGUGAGACCGGGAUGAAGGAACUGAGAUCUCUACAGGAACCCAGACCCGGACUGAUGGUGUGGAUCUGAAUGUGUCAACAUCCCCGCCCGGGGGAUGGAGCCGAUUCCCCCCUCCCCUUUAACACUCCGCCCUCCCCUUUAACUACCCCUCCCCCACCCCUUGAACUCCCCCUCCCCCUCCCCUUUAACUCCCGCCCUUACCUUUAAUGGCCGCGCGCCGGGGCUGAUUCCCAACGGUUUUAACGGAACCGGCUCCGGUCUCGAGCUCGGUGAUCUCGGAAGCGCUCCCGCCGUGACGUAUUUCCGCCCGCUGUCCGGCGGCGCCACUUCCGCCGGAUGUGCGGGUCCGAGACUCUCCCGCGUGCCACCCCGGGGAAUUCCCCGGACGGGAGGAGCCCGGGGGGCCGGGGCUCAGUCUGGGACACCGGUGUCCCGGGAGAGAAUCCUUUUGCCCCCUCUGCUGAGGACGGGGCAUUCGGCUGUCUGGCCGAUAUAAUGAUGUUAAAUUGACAAAUACCUCGGUAAUGACCCUGGAUCCGCAGCGGUCCCGGACACGGCCCCGGAGUGUGAUUGGAUGCAGAGUGACGGUGAGGAACGGGACUGAUUAAUCUACCGGUCACCCGUUGUCGCCGGUCAGUUAAUUGUGAGUGACUGUGAGCGAGGACGGGGCAUUCGGCUGUCUGGCCGAUAUAAUGGUGUUAAAUUGACAAAUACCUCGGUAAUGACCUUGGAUCCGCAGCGAUCCCGGACACGGCCCUGGAGUGUGAUUGGAUGCAGAGUGACGGGGAGGAACGGGACUGAUUAAUCUACCGGUCACCCGUUGUCGCCGGUUAGUUAAUUGUGAGUGACUGUGAGUGAGUCGGGAACAGUGUGGCGACCCACUUUCUGCGCAGGCGCACCGGCUCACAAAUACCCAGGGAUUAAAUGCCAGCACCAGGAAGUUUGAAUAAACUAGUCUGGAACAGAUUUACCGACUGCGUGUCGUUGUCUCUAACUCUGUAUGUAGUACAUCGCUGCAACAGCUUAUUUACUCCCGCAAGACAGCAGCUCACAUACUGUUUAAUUUGCAUUUAUCAUGAUGAAAUCAAUAAACCGCUGUAACUUCCUGCCUUGGUGUCGGACUUGAGUUUGUUUGAGGUUUCUGCUGCCCCCCCCCCCCCCCCCACCUUGUGCACCGCAACAGUGGGUCGGAGCUCCUCACACUGACACAGUAGCGUCUCAGCUCAAGGCUGAGGGAGGUCAGACUGGCAGAGUCUGGGUGCCCAGGUUCUAGUCUAAAAUUAACCCCGUUCAUGGCUAACUAUACCCCUCCUGUACCACCCAGACAGUUAUUAUCCUCCAGAAUAUCAGACGUGAGUCACUGAGGUCCCGAAUACCAGACGGAUGGAGAAUGGAAUACCGGCGUGAAACACAGAGUGAAUCUCCCUCCACACCGUCCCAUCACCCACUCCCGGGGUCAGACACAGAGUGAAUCUCCCUCCACACCGUCCCAUCACCCACUCCCGGGGUCAGACACAGAGUGAAUCUCCCUCCACACCGUCCCAUCACACACUCCCGUGGUCAGACACAGUGUGAAUCUCCCUCCACACCGUCCCAUCACACACUCCCGGGGUCAGGCACAGAGUGAAUCUCCCUCCACACCGUCCCAUCCCACACUCCCGGGACCAGACACCGAGUGAAUCUCCCUCCACACCGUCCCAUCACACACUCCCGGGGUCAGACACAGAGUGAUUCUCCCUCCACACCGUCCCAUCACACACUCCCGGGGUCAGACACAGAGUGAAUCUCCCUCCACACCGUCCCAUCACCCACUCCCGGGGUCAGACACAGAGUGAAUCUCCCUCCACACCGUCCCAUCACACACUCCCGUGGUCAGACACAGUGUGAAUCUCCCUCCACACCGUCCCAUCACACACUCCCGGGGUCAGGCACAGAGUGAAUCUCCCUCCACACCGUCCCAUCCCACACUCCCGGGACCAGACACCGAGUGAAUCUCCCUCCACACCGUCCCAUCACACACUCACGGGGUCAGACACAGAGUGAAUCUCCCUCCACACCGUCCCAUCACACACUCCCGGGGUCAGACACAGAGUGAAUCUCCCUCCACACCGUCCCAUCACACACUCACGGGGUCAGACACAGAGGGAAUCUCCCUGCACACCGUCCCAUCACACACUCCCGGGACCAGACACAGAGUGAAUCUCCCUCCACACCGUCCCAUCACACACUCACGGGGUCAGACACAGAGGGAAUCUCCCUCCACACCGUCCCAUCACACACUCCCGGGGUCAGACACAGAGUGAAUCUCCCUCCACACCGUCCCAUCACACACUCCCGGGGUCAGACACAGAGUGAAUCUCCCUCCACACUGUCCCAUCACACACUCCCGGGGUCAGACACAGGGGGAAUCUCCCUCCACUCCGUCCCAUCACACACUCCUGGGGUCAGACACAGAGUGAAUCUCCCUCCACUCCGUCCCAUCACACACUCCUGGGGUCAGAAACAGAGGGAAUCUCCCUCCACUCCGUCCCAUCACACACUCCCGGGGUCAGACACAGAGGGAAUCUCCCUCCACUCCGUCCCAUCACACACUCCCGGGGUCAGACACAGAGUGAAUCUCCCUCCACUCCGUCCCAUCACACACUCCCGGGGUCAGACACAGAGGGAAUCUCCCUCCACACCGUCCCCUCACACACUCCCGGGGUCAGACACAGGGGGAAUCUCCCUCCACACCGUCCCCUCACACACUCCCGGGGUCAGAAUGUGACUGACGUCAUAAUCAGAAUAAUUACCUCAGUGGAAUUGCUCUCUGUUGCUUAUAACUCUGUAAAACCGAUCACCGGUCAAUAUGAGCAGUUGGAGCGUUCCGGACAACUGAACGCUGCUUGUGACGGAAUAUAGAAUAGGCAGCGAUUUACUACAACCCGAGCAUUUUCUAUCCUGCAAUUGUAGCGAUCGGUGUCCCUGGUUAGAUACUGGAGUUGCUCACUAAAUAUCGGGUGCCGUCGUCCUGCUUUUUGUUUCGCUGCGCUGUUCGGAAUUUUAUCAGCACGAAUGCUACCCUCAGUUUCGGUGUCCUUAUUUUUCCGAUACGGUGAUUUUUUUUCUCUUUUGUCAAAUACGUUGUUGCCGAUAUGGCCAUAGCUUCAUAGACUGAUCUUGCUCGGCUUUCUGAAGCGACAGUGGUCGCUUUUUCCAGGUCGGCAGCUUUUUUCAAAUGACCUUCCAGUCGAAAAUCGACACGCAGGUCAGUUCUUGCAUUAGCACUAAAUUGUAACUUGUGCUUUGGACCUCAUUAAUUUCACUUCAAUUUAACCCUUCCGCUGUUUCAUCUCUGAUAAUUGAAAUGGUGUUAAUUAUGAAGCGAUCUACCGUUCAGCGGUACGUGCUUCGUGGUAAUCAGAUGCCCCGCACCAAACUGUCGGAAGGUCGGCAACUCCGGUACGUUGCUGUCCCUCCAGCCGGGGUGCACCGAUGAAGCCGGGACAUUAUGGAUUUCCGUUUUUAAUUAUUUCCAAAAAGAAACUCUGCCCUGCUAUAUCGAGAGAUACCGGCCACAUGACAGAUGCACUGCCACCUGGCUUUUCGGAGGACACACCACAUGCCAAUCAACAUUUGGUGCACUGCCACCUGGCUGUUCGGAGGACACUCCACAUGCCAAUCAACAUUUGGUGCACUGUCACCUGGCGGGUCGGAGAACACACCACAUGCCAAUCAACAUUUGGUGCACUGCCACCUGGCUGGUCGGAGGACACACCACAUGCCAAUCACCAUUUGGUGCACUGCCACCUGGCGGGUCGGAGGACACACCACAUGCCAAUCAACAUUUGGGGCACUGCCACCUGGCUGUUCGGAGGACACACCACAUGCCAAUCAACAUUUGGUGCACUGCCACCUGGCUGUUCGGAGGACACACCACAUGCCCAUCAACAUUUGGUGCACUUCCACCUGGCGGGUCGGAGGACACACCACAUGCCAAUCAACAUUUAGUGCACUGCCACCUGGCUGUUCG